AUAUAUUUCUCCAGACAAAAUUCUAGAUUGUAACUCUGGCACAAAUUUUGGCAAGUAUAUAUGAUUUUUUUAAAUGAUAAAAAAUGAGAAAAAAGAAUAGGAAGGAGAUUUAAGAUAUUACAAACCAAGAUGAAUGGAAAUUAUUUUUGUUCUUUACAUUUUUUGUAUUAUAGAUUGUUUGUUUAUUUUUAUCUUGAGUACCUUAACUUGUUUAUUUUUAUCUUGAGUACCUUAACAGCCCUGAUUGGCAAGUGAUAUAAACAGUGUCAUGAUCGGCUAGUUAUUUCAACAAGUGUCAUUAUUGACUAGUCAUUUAAACAGGUGUCAUGAUUGGCUAGUGAUUUCAAACAGGUGUCAUGAUUGGCUAGUGAUUUAAACAAGUGUCAUGAUUGGCUAGUGAUUUAAACAAGUGUCAUGAUUGGCUAGUGAUUUAAACAAGUGUCAUGAUUGGCUAGUGAUUUAAACAAGUGUCAUGAUUGGCAAGUGAUAUAAACAGUGUCAUGAUCGGCUAGUGAUUUAAACAAGUGUCAUGAUUGGCAAGUGAUAUAAACAGUGUCAUGAUCGGCUAGUUAUUUCAACAAGUGUCAUGAUUGACUAGUCAUUUAAACAGGUGUCAUGAUUGGCUAGUGAUUUCAAACAGGUGUCAUGAUUGACUAGUGAUUUAAACAAGUGUCAUGAUUGGCUAGUGAUUUAACAAGUGUUAUGAACAGAGAUUCAGUUAACUUUCCUACUUUUGGUAUCUAUGAUCUAGUUAAAAUUGCAAUUAUCUUAAAAUAACAAAAAUGAAUAAGAUUCUAUCACUUCGGGUCUUCUGGAAAAUUAUUUUAUUCAUAUAAAAGACUUAAAAGACUUAAAAGGUGACAUAAUAACUUUUCCCGAUCUUAUGAUCUGAAUGAAUUAUAACAAGGAUAAACGAUAUUAUGUAUUUAGAUUUUUGACAGGUUAUAUGGCCUAAAAUGAACUGUAAGUUUAUAUAACAUGAGCUUUUAGGCCAGGGUUACUUAGCAAACUAUUAUUUAUACAUGAUCAUAUAACUAGGCAAAAGUCUUAAUUACAAAAUUAUAAUGCUGCACAAUUAUUGGCUUUCUUUUAUUUGAAUGAAAAUUAAUGAAUAAAUUUACAGCAGCUGUGGAUAUAGAUGAUAUAAACUACAAUAUUGUUCAAUGAAAAUUUAUGUUACAAACGUGCAGUAUUAUAAAAAAAUAUCUCUGGUAUAUUAUAUGUUGUUUCUGUACUUAUUUUAACACUGUCCCCUGUUUAAAUGAUUGGAAAUGCCAUACAGUUUGAGUGAAUAAAGAUUGCGUCUAAAAAAUG